UCCUUGUUAGCUCAGUCGGURGAGCGUUCGGCUUUUAAGCAAUYSACAAGAAGCCGACCGAACGGUCGAGGGUUCGAGCCCCUCACAGGGAG
rfam:Brettanomyces bruxellensis AWRI1499 AWRI1499_contig2848_scaffold57, whole genome shotgun sequence.